AUAAAAGCUUUGAGAGGGAGAAGUAAGAAAAACAAAAGCUCAAAAAGAGAGAACCGCCAUAGGCUGAAAGCGGUUUGGGCUGAAUGUUUUCUGAAAUGCACCCUUGAGCCUUUUGCUGAAAGUUGAUGUAGGCAACAGCGGUUCAGGCCGUUAUCCUGGUGAAGUUGGGGGCAGCAAUGCCUCAAACAGAGUGGAACCGCGCAAAAAGCGUCUCUGUC
rnacentral:ncRNA from 1 species